rnacentral:rRNA from 1 species
UGGGGAAUUUUGGACAAUGGGCGAAAGCCUGAUCCAGCAAUGCCGCGUGUGUGAAGAAGGCCUUCGGGUUGUAAAGCACUUUUGUCCGGAAAGAAAUCCUUGGCUCUAAUACAGUCGGGGGAUGACGGUACCGGAAGAAUAAGCACCGGCUAACUACGUGCCAGCAGCCGCGGUAAUACGUAGGGUGCAAGCGUUAAUCGGAAUUACUGGGCGUAAAGCGUGCGCAGGCGGUUUGCUAAGACCGAUGUGAAAUCCCCGGGCUCAACCUGGGAACUGCAUUGGUGACUGGCAGGCUAGAGUAUGGCAGAGGGGGGUAGAAUUCCACGUGUAGCAGUGAAAUGCGUAGAGAUGUGGAGGAAUACCGACGGCGAAGGCAGCCCCCUGGGCCAAUACUGACGCUCAUGCACGAAAGCGUGGGGAGCAAACAGGAUUAGAUACCCUGGUAGUCCACGCCCUAAACGAUGUCAACUAGUUGUUGGGGAUUCAUUUCCUUAGUAACGUAGCUAACGCGUGAAGUUGACCGCCUGGGGAGUACGGUCGCAAGAUUAAAACUCAAAGGAAUUGACGGGGU